UAUUAUGGUUGGGAUUGGAAGGAGAUGUUCAGGCUUGGACACCUCUUUCAGAUGACUUUAGGGUUUAGUUAAAAUAGAUAGUUAGGAUGUGACAUAAGCAGAUUGUUGUAUCUUAUAUUUUACCUUUAUGAUUGUUAAUUUUGGAUACUUACACUGUUAAGUUUUAAUCUUCUUUUAGACUAAAAGGGGAAUUGUAGGGGAAGCUGUAGCCAUGCCUACUUAGGGGCUGGCUACAGGUGUGCCUGACCACGCUUUCGAGGGCGUGGUCAGGGUGAUGUAAAGCGAUACUUGCAAGGGACUGUAUUUCUCUUUCAGUUUCACUUUUGGGCUUGUGUACAGACCGCCGUGCCGGCUGGCUAGGUUGCUCUCCUUCAUCCAGCAGCUGGUGGAAGUAGAAACAGACACCCACAGCUAAACCUUGAACUGAAGUGAAAUCCAGAUGCAGAGAAGAAGGACUGGAAAUGGGGCCAAGAAAAGCAGAACUACAGCUUCUAAGUACCGACUUUCUCUGCCCUAAGCGGAUUGAGACUUACUCCGGAAUAUGUGACCUUUCACCCUCAUUAUGAAGAAUGGAAUGAAAUCAUUUUCCAACUGAAUCAAAUCACUUAGAUGUGCCUAAGG
rnacentral:lncRNA from 1 species